UUUGUAUAAAAUUUUGAUUGUUGCUCAGAAAGCCGUGUUCUUUCAGCAAUUCGCUUUCGAGCAGUAAUCAAAGUCAAAUAAAAC
rfam:Anopheles funestus strain FTMOZ unplaced genomic scaffold supercont1.219, whole genome shotgun sequence.